rnacentral:rRNA from 1 species
AUUGAACGCUGGCGGAAUGCUUUACACAUGCAAGUCGAACGGCAGCACGGACUUCGGUCUGGUGGCGAGUGGCGAACGGGUGAGCAAUGUAUCGGAACGUGCCCAGUCGUGGGGGAUAACGUAGUGAAAAUUACGCUAAUACCGCAUACGAUCUAUGGAUGAAAGCGGGGGAUCGCAAGACCUCGCGCGAUUGGAGCGGCCGAUAUCAGAUUAGGUAGUUGGUGGGGUAAAGGCCCACCAAGCCAACGAUCUGUAGCUGGUCUGAGAGGACGACCAGCCACACUGGAACGGAGACACGGUCCAGACUCCUACGGGCGGCAGCAGUGGGGAAUUUUGGACAAUGGGCGAAAGCCUGAUCCAGCCAUUCCGCGUGCAGGAUGAAGGCCCUCGGGUUGUAAACUGCUUUUGUACAGAACGAAAAGGUUUCUACUAAUACUAGGAGCUCAUGACGGUACUGUAAGAAUAAGCACCGGCUAACUACGUGCCAGCAGCCGCCGUAA